rnacentral:rRNA from 1 species
GUAGGAUAGGUGGGAGGCUUUGAAGUGUGGACGCCAGUCUGCAUGGAGCCGACCUUGAAAUACCACCCUUUAAUGUUUGAUGUUCUAACGUGGACCCGUGAUCCGGGUUGCGGACAGUGUCUGGUGGGUAGUUUGACUGGGGCGGUCUCCUCCUAAAGAGUAACGGAGGAGCACGAAGGUUGGCUAAUCCUGGUCGGACAUCAGGAGGUUAGUGCAAUGGCAUAAGCCAGCUUGACUGCGAGCGUGACGGCGCGAGCAGGUGCGAAAGCAGGUCAUAGUGAUCCGGUGGUUCUGAAUGGAAGGGCCAUCGCUCAACGGAUAAAAGGUACUCCGGGGAUAACAGGCUGAUACCGCCCAAGAGUUCAUAUCGACGGCGGUGUUUGGCACCUCGAUGUCGGCUCAUCACAUCCUGGGGCUGAAGUAGGUCCCAAGGGUAUGGCUGUUCGCCAUUUAAAGUGGUACGCGAGCUGGGUUUAGAACGUCGUGAGACAGUUCGGUCCCUAUCUGCCGUGGGCGCUGGAGAACUGAGGGGGGCUGCUCCUAGUACGAGAGGACCGGAGUGGACGCAUCACUGGUGUUCGGG